rnacentral:tRNA from 1 species
GCGGCGGACCGCCCGGGUCGCCCCCGGCGCCCGCUGGGGCCGGGUGCUGGCCGCCGCCGCGCCGUUCGGCCUGGCGCCGCUGUC